UAAGGCUGAGACCUACUGAAGCAGGACAUUUCACUGACCCCUUUGUGGAACUCGCAACAGGGGUGCCCCGUUUACUCAGCCCACAGCUCUCAACUCCUCAUAGGAGGGAGUGAGCAAGCCAACAAGGCGGGAACUGGAAUACACGAGUGCUAGAAUCAGCUGGCUACUUCAUAGCUGGCAAGAGCAAACUCCACUCACUCAGACCCGCUGCUUUCCACCCCUCGUCGGACAGGGCACACAGGUAACCAAAGAAUCUGACCCAUAGGGUUUCUAACUCACAAAAGGAGGGUCCAACUAUGUGGAAGCUGUCACCUUUGAUGGAAUUUAUCUGAUACCAUAUAACAUAGUGGAAGGAGAGUCAAAGAAUUUGUGGCUAUUUUAAGUCACACAUCAUUUCUUUUUCCAUGCCCCACCCCUGGAACCUUCUCAAGGUGUUUGACUUCAACCAGAGUUGAAGAUCCCCCAUCUGCAAUACUGCUGCACCCCCACCUCAAGCCCCAGCUGAUUGAACCCCAGGUGGAUUCCUGAUUCAGGCAAUCCACAGGCUGGGCUGAAGCAAUCAUGAUGUCUCUCUAAGGAAUAUUAAUUAAAAGCCACAGAGACCCCAGUCAGUUUUAAGGAGGUGUGCCGCCAGAAACCAGGGUCAGCACCAUACCAAACCAAAGUUAUGGAGGAGUAAAAACCAAAAGUCUUGCAGAAGCAGCAGAUUUGGAGACAAAAAAAGCAGAACCCACAUGCAGAAAGAAAAGAGAGGCACCACGUGACCCUUGAGACAAAGUGACAGACAUUCCAGUGCUGCCAGACAGAUUUCCAGUAUCUGUGAGGUCCUGCUGUGCACCAGAGAAGAGAGUUCUGGGAAAACCCCUGCUAUGGGUUGAACUGUAUUCCCCAAACAUUCAUAUGUUGGAGCCUUAACCUCCAGGACCUUAGAAUGGGACCUUACUUGGAAAUAGAGUCAUUGCAGAUGUAAUUAGUUAAGCUGAGUUCCUACUGGAGUAGGGUGGGCCCCUAAUCCAAUAUAUUGUUGUCCUUAUAAAAAGGGGAAGUCUGGAGAAUAGUUAUCCUUCCAAGAUAAACUAUUUGCCAAAUAUGUAACAGAGUAACCAGCCAUUUCCAUAUGGGAUUUCUAGUCAUUUCCCAGUUAAAAAUUAAGGAAUAGGUACACGCAGUAAGAGCACUCAGUGAAGAUGAGGGCAGAGAUCAAGAUGCCACAUCUACAAACCAAGGAACACCAAAGAUUGCCAGAAACUAUCAGAAGCUAGGGGAAAGGCAUGGAACAGUUACUUCUUCACAGCCGUCAGAAGGAACCAACCCUGUUGACACCCGGACCUCAGACGUGAAGCCUCCAGAACCGUGUGGAGUGGCCAUAUAUAAAACCUGACUGUUACUCACAUAAAAUAUUGGCCUGAAACUCUCAGACUUCGAAGCAAGUAGCAGAUUUGGAUGGAAUACACCACAAAUUAAUAAAGCCAUAAUCUAGAGAAGGUAAUAAAUUGACUUUUUAAAUAUGAGAUACUCUAAACUCUGGCUUCAGUGGGGAAGAGUUUUUUUUUUUUACUUCAAGUUAUGCUGAUUUAAUUACAAAAUAAGCUUUUCCAAGGCACUGGCCUUUGUAAUGAAGGUAAAUAUUACAUGUUUGCUAAAAAACAGGGUUUUAUAAAACUCCUCACCUCAUAUAAACAAUUGUAAGUCUUUUGUUUUUUCCAGAAAAAAAAAAACUUUCACUAAGUAUUAGUCACUCAUAUAUCUAUAAAUCUCAGAGGAAUUUCCCCAAGCACUCUGGCUUCCCAAGUAGGAGAUUGUUUCUCCUAGUUCAAGUCUCAUUUCACUGUUAGGCUGGCUGUUAUUUCAUGGUGACUUGCCAUGUUAAUAGUAUGUCUUCUAAUCCACGAAUGUGAUAUAGCUCUCCAACUUAUUUGAGUCCUCUUCAGUUUUACUCAACAGUGUUUUGUAGUUUUCUGUGUAUAGGUUUUGGAAAUCCAUAAUUAAAUUUAUCCUUGGGUAUUCUAUGGUUCUUUGUUAUUAUGAAUUGUAUUUUUUAUCUCAUUUCCCAAUUGUUUUGCUGGUAUACAGAAAUAUAAUUUAUUUACCUAUAUGGACCUGGAAAAUUACAGCUUUGUUAAUUAAAUUCAACUAGUUAUAUUAGUUGUUUUGCAGAUUCCUUAG
rnacentral:lncRNA from 1 species